AGUUCAGCUGGUUAGAA
rnacentral:misc_RNA from 1 species